CCUACGGGAGGCAGCAGUAGGGAAUCUUCCACAAUGGGCGAAAGCCUGAUGGAGCAACGCCGCGUGAGUGAUGAAGGCCUUCGGGUUGUAAAACUCUGUCAUUCGGGACGAACCGGAGUCUGAGGAAAUGCAGACUCUCUGACGGUACCGGAGGAGGAAGCCCCGGCUAACUACGUGCCAGCAGCCGCGGUAAUACGUAGGGGGCAAGCGUUGUCCGGAUUCACUGGGCGUAAAGCGCGCGCAGGCGGUGAUGUAAGUCUGAGGUGAAAACCCGAAGCUCAACUUCGGGACUGCCUUGGAUACUGCGUCACUUGAGGAUAGGAGAGGCAAGGGGAAUUCCACGUGUAGCGGUGAAAUGCGUAGAGAUGUGGAGGAACACCUGUGGCGAAGGCGCCUUGCUGGCCUAUUUCUGACGCUGAGGCGCGAAAGCGUGGGGAGCAAACAGGAUUAGAUACCCUGGUAGUCCACGCUGUAAACGAUGAGUGCUAGGUGUAGGUGGGCUCAUACCCAUCUGUGCCGAAGCUAACGCAUUAAGCACUCCGCCUGGGGAGUCGGUCGCAGACUGAAACUCAAAGGAUUAGACGCGNGAGAGNGCGAGGACGACACGAGGGAGGAG
rnacentral:rRNA from 1 species